UACGUAGGGUGCGAGCGUUGUCCGGAAUUAUUGGGCGUAAAGAGCUCGUAGGCGGUCUGUCGCGUCGGUCGUGAAAACUUGGGGCUUAACCCUGAGCUUGCGGUCGAUACGGGCAUGACUGGAGUUCGGUAGGGGAGACUGGAAUUCCUGGUGUAGCGGUGGAAUGCGCAGAUAUCAGGAGGAACACCGGUGGCGAAGGCGGGUCUCUGGGCCGACAUUGACGCUGAGGAGCGAAAGCGUGGGGAGCGAACAGG
rnacentral:rRNA from 1 species